GCGGACGUGGUGGAAUUGGUAGACACACCAGAUUUAGGUUCUGGCGCCGCAAGGUGUGAGAGUUCGAGUCUCUCCGUCCGCA
rnacentral:tRNA from 13 species